UACGUAGGGUGCGAGCGUUGUCCGGAAUUACUGGGCGUAAAGAGCUCGUAGGUGGUUUGUCGCGUUGUUCGUGAAAACUCACAGCUCAACUGUGGGCGUGCGGGCGAUACGGGCAGACUGGAGUACUGCAGGGGAGACUGGAAUUCCUGGUGUAGCGGUGGAAUGCGCAGAUAUCAGGAGGAACACCGGUGGCGAAGGCGGGUCUCUGGACAGUUCCUGACACUGAGGCACGAAGGCCAGGGGAGCAAACGGG
rnacentral:rRNA from 1 species